GACAACGUGGCCGAGUGGUUAAGGCGAUGCACUCGAAAUGCAUUCUUCUCUGAAGGCGCAGGUUCGAGUCCUGCCGUUGUCG
rfam:Batrachochytrium salamandrivorans strain BS supercont1.3735, whole genome shotgun sequence.